AUAAGGAUUUUGAUGGAGGAGAUGUCUCCGACGGUUGCAGUGCCCAUUAGAGUAGGUAAUUCAGUCUGUGAAAACCCAAACAUAGAUACCCAUUUGGAUAUCGCCAGACUUAAGUUGAUGGCAGACAAGGCUGGCUUUUUAUCGGACUCUGUGACUAAGGUUUCUGCUGUUGGCAACAAUGGUUGUAAUUGUGGUGAUUUGGAUAAUGAAGUUAGUG
rnacentral:misc_RNA from 1 species